rnacentral:rRNA from 1 species
GGGCCCGCACAAGCAGCGGAGCAUGUUGCUUAAUUCGAGGCAACGCGAAGAACCUUACCUGGGUUUGACAUGUAGAGAAAAGCCACAGAGAUGUGGUGUCCUUCGGGGUUCUACACAGGUGGUGCAUGGUUGUCGUCAGCUCGUGUCGUGAGAUGUUGGGUUAAGUCCCGCAACGAGCGCAACCCUUGUCCUAUGUUGCCAGCACGUAAUGGUGGGGACUCGUAGGAGACUGCCGGGGUCAACUCGGAGGAAGGUGGGGAUGACGUCAAAUCAUCAUGCCCCUUAUAUCCAGGGCUGCAAACAUGCUACAAUGGCCGGUACAAAGGGCUGCUAAACCGCGAGGUGGAGCGAAUCCCAUAAAGCCGGUCUCAGUUCGGAUUGGAGUCUGCAACUCGACUCCAUGAAGCUGGAGUUGCUAGUAAUCCCGGAUCAGCAACGCCGGGGUGAAUACGUUCCCGGGCCUU